rnacentral:lncRNA from 1 species
GGGAGAUUUAAAUAUAUACAAAUGAAAGCUUGAAUUAGAUAAUCAUAAACUAAGAAGAGGUUGAUCAAGACAAAAGGCAUGCAACUAUGUGGUGGUGGGACGGACAUAGAGUACGAUUUUGUCAGCGGUCGACACGGCUUGUGCGAUCUUUGUAACAUGCCCCGAUUCACUGCAAGUGCUUCGUAUGUUUGAGAAUUAUUGUGUUGCAUAAUUAUUAUUUUUGUUCUAUAAACAUAUCGUUCUUUAGGUACUUUAUUCUGAUCUUUUAGAAAAUAGAAGAAACUGCAAAACAUGCAUUUGUUUCUAAAUAUAUUCGCAUAAUGUUUUGUCAAAAUUGAUGCCAUCCGUUUUCUUUUUUAAUGAAAAAUUAGUUGACAUCACAAAUAAUAUUUCAAUUUUA